rnacentral:rRNA from 1 species
UACGGAGGGAGCUAGCGUUGUUCGGAAUUACUGGGCGUAAAGCGCACGUAGGCGGCUUUGUAAGUUAGAGGUGAAAGCCCGGGGCUCAACUCCGGAAUUGCCUUUAAGACUGCAUCGCUUGAAUCCGGGAGAGGUGAGUGGAAUUCCGAGUGUAGAGGUGAAAUUCGUAGAUAUUCGGAAGAACACCAGUGGCGAAAGGCGGCUCACUGGACCGGUAUUGACGCUGAGGUGCGAAAGCGUGGGGAGCAAACAGG